UACGGAGGGGGUUAGCGUUGUCCGGAUUUACUGGGCGUAAAGAGCGCGCAGGCGGCUGGUCAAGUCCGAUGUGAAAUCUCCCGGCUCAACUGGGAAACUGCAUCGGAAACUGAUCGGCUUGAAGAUGGGAGAGGGUAGUGGAAUUCCCGGUGUAGUGGUGAAAUGCGUAGAUAUCGGGAGGAAUACCAGUGGCGAAGGCGACUACCUGGCCCAUUCUUGACGCUGAGGCGCGAAAGCUAGGGGAGCGAACGGG
rnacentral:rRNA from 1 species